AAAUAGCCCUGUUCAAGAUUAUCGCAUACAUAAGAAUUUACCCAGAGUCGGCAAAAAAUGAAUGUUCAGCUUCAAACUUAACAUUCAUACUUUUGGAUCAUUUUAAACAUUACUGGUACUCACGCUGGUGAUUCACAAAGAUGUUUAAAAUGAGGUUUGAAAAUUAUUUAUUAAAAACUGAAGCGGCCACAUAAGUUGGUCAAAAAAUUAAUGGAAAAUUAUAAAGAUGUAAAGUAAAAGUUUUAGAAUGUCAUUUUAUCCUUUCUCAACUUCUACAAAUAUUAACACAAGAGGAUCAUUGAAACUUCCUAAUGGUUAAUCAAAGAAUAUCAAGGAAAAAUGAAGUAGUUAUUGAAUGGAGAUAUAAUACUUACAAAGAGUUAUUGCAAUAUGAUUACUGAAUGAAGAUAUAAUACUUACAAAAAGUUAUUGCGAUAUGGUUAGUAUUAUUAUUACUUCCGUAUAAGAUUUGUAUUAAGAAUUUUAAUAUAUAUGAUGAUUUGAUCACUCA
rnacentral:lncRNA from 1 species